UACGUAGGGGGCAAGCGUUGUCCGGAAUUAUUGGGCGUAAAGCGCGAGCAGGCGGUUCAUUAAGUUUGGUGUUUAAGGCUGGGGCUCAACCCCGGUUCGCACUGAAAACUGGUGGACUUGAGUGCAGAAGAGGAAAGUGGAAUUCCACGUGUAGCGGUGAAAUGCGUAGAGAUGUGGAGGAACACCAGUGGCGAAGGCGACUUUCUGGGCUGUAACUGACGCUGAGGCGCGAAAGCGUGGGGAGCAAACA
rnacentral:rRNA from 1 species